UUGAAUUUGGGACAAUUUUGCUGAUGUGGCAACAGUGUUUUGUGAGUUUAGGAGGGAAACCAUUCUCAAAUUCUCAAUUCACAAACAAAAACACAUUGGACGCGGGAUCCGAAUAAACUCCGGGUCGGAUCAAAUUGAUUUGGAUCCCUUAUAUUUUUUGAACGCUUUCUUCCUUCACACAAUUCCAUCAGAUCUCCUUCGUCUCUAUCAUCACCCUCAAAACCCUAGCGGCGCAUAUGCAUCAUCUUCAGCAAAUCCACACAUGUUCUUCAGCAAAUCGACGAUGGUGAUUCUCAUGUUACCUUUUCACCACCGAUUUUGUAGAUUUGAGUUAUUUUUCUUCCGUGUUCAAUUUUGAAUCUCGCUUCGUGUUCUUCUGGUUCAGUCAUGUACGAUCCAUGGAUUCAAGCAUCAGAUUGCUCUAGCCACCGCCCCAUCAAUCAGGCUAGGGUUCCAACAGGUUGAUCUAGAGCCAGUUUUGUUAACAGCUGUGCUGCUCUUAUUUUUGUUAUGGAGUGGAAUGGAAUUGGGGUACUUUGAAUAUAGGUUAAAAUCUGUCUAAUUGAAUGAGAAAGUGAAAUUGCUUCGAUACUAUUUGCCUCAUACAUAACAAUAUCAGGUAAGGGAUUCCUACAUUCACUUCAAUUAGAUUGAUCUCUUUUUAUUUUUUGGAUAUUGUAUAUUGUAUUUUCGAAUUUAAAGUUUCUUUGUUCUCUAUGGGGGGUUUUUGGUAAUGUUUCAUUUGUUAUGCACAUUUCAUCUACCCCUGUUCAUUUUCUUGAAAAAACUGUUGUUGUUAAUCACCAAAUUAGCUUCCAGGUGGAUCAGAUGUAUGCUUUGGUCGGUAUGACACUAUUGAACACAAAUCCAGAAUGGUUAUGAAGUUCAUCAUAUGUUCUUGUGAAGCUAUAUAAAGAAGUGAACAAAAAAAAGAGAUAAUUACAAGGAAGUAAUAGAUUUUGUGUACUGGUAUUCUUGUGCAUUUGAAUGCAGGUAAUUUUGAAAAGUUUAUGAAAUUUGGGUUUUUGUUAUUACAGGGGUACAUAAUUAACUUAGUCUAACCUUUUAGAAGCUGGCCAUAACAUACUUUUAAGCAUUUUCUUUAUGAGUAUCAGAUCAUUAGUUAAUAGUCUUUGUACUGUAAUCAUAUUUGGUAUAUUUAAUUUAUUAUUAGUAGGUGGUGCAAUCAGUUCUUUUAACAAAUAUAAAAUUAGCUUGAAUGAUUCUCACAAGUAGUUUUAUUACGUGGGGUCCAAAUAGUGUUCCAAUGAUCUCUAUAUAUUAAUACCAGCCUAAAUGGAGUUAGAAUUUUGUUAAAAAUAAGUUUGAUUACAGUCCGUUGGUAAAAGAGGCUGAAAGGCAUGAUAGGUAAUCUCAGGGUUUUUUUUUAUAAUUUAAGCUUAUGUCAUGAUAGCUAACCAAUUCUUUGAAGACUAACAUCAUCUGUGGGGGAUUGAGAAGCAUGUUAGUGUAUUUGGCCUGAGGUAAAAUUCAUUUGAAGACUAACUUCAUAUGUGUGAAAUUUUUUAAUUCUUUCAAAUUCUCUAAUCUUUAUUUUCCUUUGUACUUCUAGGAACCCACAAGAGAUCUAAUAUGGUGUUGCUGGAGCUGACUUUAUGGUUGGCCUCACUAGGUCUUCACAAAUCAAGCUGAAGAAGAUGUGUAGUAGUUUUCAGAGACAACUCAAGGCUAUGCUUCGCAAGAACUGGCUUCUCAAAAUUCAUCAUCCGUACAUCACUCUCGCAUAGGUUAUUCCAUUGAUCAUUGUUCAAUUUUCAUUUUUGUAGAUUCAAAGGCUCAAUUUCACUGUUUAAUUUGUGUAAUUUGAAUUUGAUCACAUACCUAUGCUACCUCAUGGUUAACAAUGCAAGAAGAAUAGGGCUGAAAUGGAGAGACAAAGAUCAAUGGAGCUUGGAUGGUAGACUGAAGACAUUAUAUAUAAUUGAUUUGAAGUCUUGGCCAAUCAUUCAUUAAUAGAUGGAAUGAAUUUGUCUAUUGGUAAUACUUUGAUUGAUAUGUAUGAUGGAUUCUAUACACCUGAUAAAAGCACGCCAGGUGUUGGAUGCUAUGCCAAAGAGACAUUCUUUUUUAUUGAUCAGUCUAUAAGCUUUCAGUUUUAUAUCUACUAGCAUACUCUUCUGUGAUGAUGAAUCAUUUGAGUAUAUACAGUCAAGGAAAUGUGCAAAAUUUUAAUUAUUCGUUUCUUUUGAGUAUAUAUAAUUAUGAUAUUUGUUGAUUA